UGCCUGAUGGGCAAUUGGCUAGCGUUCUGGUCUUUGGUACCAGAGGCUUCAAGUUCGAAUCCUGAUUUUGGCAU